rnacentral:rRNA from 1 species
GGAGGGUGCUAGCGUUGUUCGGAAUUACUGGGCGUAAAGCGCGUGUAGGCGGAUGUGUAGGUCAGAUGUGAAAUCCCUUGGCUCAACUGAGGAAGUGCAUCUGAAACCACAUAUCUUGAGUACGAGAGAGGAGGGUGGAAUUCCCAGUGUAGAGGUGAAAUUCAUAGAUAUUGGGAAGAACACCGGUGGCGAAGGCGGCUCUCUGGCUCGAUACUGACGCUGAGACGCGAAAGCGUGGGUAGCAAACAGGAUUAGAUACCCUGGUAGUCCACGCCGUAAACGAUGUGCACUAGGUGUUGGAAGUAAUUAAACUUUCAGUGCCGCAGCUAACGCAUUAAGUGCACCGCCUGGGGAUUACGGUCGCAAGAUUA